rnacentral:piRNA from 1 species
UCUCGAUUGUAGCACGCUGACUUAAGA